AUUUUAAUAUUUUAGGCUUUAAUUAAAAUUUUAUAAUUUAUGUCAUAAAUACGAGUAUAACCUGUAUAGCUAAUAUGGUGUUUUUAGUAAAACUUCUAUGGUAAAAUCCAUAAUCAAAUUAUUUUUUAAAAAAAUAAGUUCAUAAUAUUUAU